UUCGCAAUGCCCGAAAGGGUGACGAAGCGACGCCGCGUGUGGGAAGAAGGCCUUCGGGUUGUAAACCGCUGUUGGGAGUUAGGAAGUGUGGGAGUGUUAAUAGCGCUUCCACUUGACUAAAGCUCCAGAGGAAGCCACGGCUAACUCUGUGCCAGCAGCCGCGGUAAUACAGAGGCGGCAAGCGUUGUUCGGAAUUAUUGGGCGUAAAGAGCACGUAGGCGGCUCUGCAAGUCAGCUGUGAAAGCCUUCUGCUUAACGGAAGAACAGCAGUUGAAACUACAGGGCUUGAGUGCGGAAGGGGAGAGUGGAACUUCUGGUGGAGCGGUGAAAUGCGUAGAUAUCAGAAGGAACGCCGGCGGCGAAAGCGGCUCUCUGGUCCGCAACUGACGCUGAGUGUGCGAAAGCUAGGGGAGCAAACGGGAUUAGAUACCCCGGUAGUCCUAGCCGUAAACGAUGGGCACUAAGUAGAGGGGUUUU
rnacentral:rRNA from 1 species